rnacentral:lncRNA from 1 species
CCGGUUGCAAAUUUCCAAAAAGGAGAGUAAAAUAAUUAAUGAGUCAAGGUCUCAGGAGAGACAGAAGGGUUGACAAGCAGAAAUACAGAACUAAUCAUGGUUCCUGAUACAGACGCCAAAACAAGGAAGUGAUCUGUUCCAGUCCAAGCUUCCAAGAAAUAAAGAACUAGGUGGGGCACACUAAACAAGCCCCCAGACUCAACCACCCCAGUGAACAUUCCCUGGUUGUAGAGAGAAGUGAAAUUUGCAACCCAGAACAGAAAUCUGGCUGUGUGAGCAGUAGGAUUGGGGGUGGAAACAUUUAAUGAAGUACAAUUUUUUAACCCUCUUUUAGACAGUAUCACUGGAUAAACAUCCUUUUCAAUAAUAAAAAUCCAAGUCAUUUCUGGCCCUUUUCCUGGAAGUGCUUUCAAGUUACAGGAACACCAAUAAGAGGCCCUUUUCUGGGCAUGGAGCCCA